rnacentral:rRNA from 1 species
UACGUAGGUGGCAAGCGUUAUCCGGAAUUAUUGGGCGUAAAGCGCGCGCAGGCGGUUUUUUAAGGCUGAUGUGAAAGCCCACGGCUCAACCGUGGAGGGUCAUUGGAAACUGGGGGACUUGAGUACAGAAGAGAAGAGUGGAAUUCCACGUGUAGCGGUGAAAUGCGUAGAGAUGUGGAGGAACACCAGUGGCGAAGGCGACUCUUUGGUCUGUAACUGACGCUGAGGCGCGAAAGCGUGGGGAGCAAACAGG